rnacentral:rRNA from 1 species
UACGUAGGGGGCUAGCGUUAUCCGGAAUUACUGGGCGUAAAGGGUGCGUAGGUGGUUUCUUAAGUCAGAGGUGAAAGGCUACGGCUCAACCGUAGUAAGCCUUUGAAACUGGGGAACUUGAGUGCAGGAGAGGAGAGUGGAAUUCCUAGUGUAGCGGUGAAAUGCGUAGAUAUUAGGAGGAACACCAGUUGCGAAGGCGGCUCUCUGGACUGUAACUGACGCUGAGGUUCGAAAGCGUGGGUAGCAAACAGG